AAAAUAUGUCCUGAGUUUUUAUUUAGAAGAGAGAGGAAGAACUUCGCCGGGGCAGAGCAGAGGAGGCGGACCUUCCGUGCGGGGCGACACACUGACCGUAACUGUCCGCAGUUCACCCCUGGGAGCUUUGUCUCCCUACAGGAGCCCCAGCGUUCCUUCCAACCACAUCAGUAUUCUUCAAUGAGAAGUUUUCCUGAUACAUUUUUUUCAAGAUUUAUCACCACCUCUCUUCCUGGGCCGCUGGCUGCUGUACGGGCCUCACCUCCUGGGACACUCGCACAUGUAGAGGCCUCACCUCCUGGGACACUCGCAGAUGUAGAGGCCUCACCUCCUGGGACACUGGCCGCUGCCCCAAGGCCACCAGGUAAGGUGCUGCCAGCUGCAGGACACAUGCGGCCCAGCUGGGCUGCAAAUGCGAGCUGGCCUGCAUGUCCCCUGAAGUCCUGUGUUGUCUCAGAAUCGGCUCCCCCGCGGCCCCCCUGCAGCGUCCGAGGCAGCGGGAGCCGGGGUGGCUUCUCGAGGGCCCGGACACCAGGAGCAAGGCCGGAGCCGGACUUCUGUUACUCCGGCAGGACACAGGCUGCCCGGUGCGCGUGCAAGGAGCCGGCAGGCCGAGUGACUGGAGGCAGCGCUGCGUGCAUGCAGAAACUCUGUGCUCGGGAUAUUUCCCAGCAGCGUGUGCGCGCCUGGUUCCCGUUUUCCAAAGGACCAUAGUUGCCCCUCGGGCGACACGCCCCGUCCCCCUCUGUAGGCGCAGGUGCCGCUGGACUCCGGACGCGGCUCAGGAGCCGGAGCUUAAUGUAGUCGGAGGCGACGAAACACCAGGACUUCUGCUGAGGAAAGGAAGCUUCCAGGCUCCUCCAGAAGUCGGGGAGUGAGGUGGUGACAUCUGGAGCCACUGCAGCCAUUUCACCACCACGGCGGGGAGUCCAGCGCUGUGGGUUUGCCUGUGGGGACUCUGAGGGUGAAUCCAAGAGGGGAAAAGAUGAUGCAGAGGAAGCCUGGGUCCCCGGUGCCAGCCCUUAGCCUGCGGGGCAGCCUCUCGAUCUCCACAGGAACUUCCCCUAAAGCUGUUUUCUGUUCUGGGAUCCCAUAAACCCCUUUGUAGGGUGAGCCGAC
rnacentral:lncRNA from 1 species